rnacentral:misc_RNA from 1 species
GUACAUUUAUUUUCCGUAAUAAAACUAUAGAAGUUUUUAUUGAUGAGGUUAUAAACUUCUAUUGCGGAUGUUCGUAUACGACAGUGUUAUGUAGAUUUUAAAUCAUGCUUUCGACCGGGAUUAAAGAUGCACUGGCUGUUACAGCUUCAAUUUGUACAGUUUUGCAAUUUUUAGCUGGCGUGCUGAUAUGCAGGAAGAUCAUUAAAAAUGGAACGACAGGAAAUAAUUCAGCUUUGGCAUUUAUAAUGUGUUAUACAUCGUGCAUUUUAUGGUUGAGAUACGGAUAUCUUUUGAACGGAAAUCGAGUGGAAUUUUCCAGACAUAUUAGAAAGUUCGAAGAGUUCCGGGUGAAAACAGUUGGCAGCACUGAUGCUUCGAGAGAGGAGAAAGAGGUGCGGUGUUGCGUGACUGAUUGCGAGACCGAGCGUGUGUGUUUGUUGUGUUGUACGAUUUUUAUUCUCCUUUUGGGAAGAAAAGUUCGUUUGGAAGACCGUACGCUUGGAAGAAAAAUGUCGUCGUAUAUUCAAGUUGCGGAAGACGAAGGCGACGAGCCGAUAGAAUUGCCAACGGAAGAUGAUAGUACACUUUUAUUGACUACCGUAACCGCCCAGUUUCCCGGAACGUGUGGCCUCAAAUAUCGCAACCCAGAAUCUCGGACGAUGCGCGGCAUUCGUCUCGUUGACGGACGUCUUCAUCCGCCUGAAAAUGGAUGGGGCAAGGCGAUUUACUUUUGUGUUUUUCCAAAAGAGAACAAACGUAAAUCUGAUGACAAUUUGGAAAAUUCCACAGCUAAGACUAAAAGAAUGGAAACAAAGUUGCGUUGCACAGACUUGAUCGUACUUGGUUUACCAUGGAAAACCACCGAGCAGAACUUGCGUGAAUAUUUCGAAACGUUUGGUGAAGUACUGAUGGCUCAGGUAAAAAAGGAUGCAAAAUCUGGACAAAGCAAAGGAUUUGGAUUUAUUAGAUUCGGAAGUUACGAAUCCCAGUUAAGAUGUCUUGCUCAGCGGCAUAUGAUAGAUGGAAGAUGGUGCGAUGUCAAAGUUCCCAACAGUAAGGAGGGAAUGAUUCAGCAAGUACCCUGCAAGGUAUUCGUGGGACGCUGUACAGAAGACCUAACUGCCGAUGAUCUACGCGACUAUUUCUCCAAAUAUGGCGAAGUGACGGACGUGUUCAUCCCAAAACCUUUCCGUGCAUUUUCAUUUGUUACUUUCUUAGAUCCCGAGGUAGCGCAGUCCCUAUGCGGCGAGGAUCACAUAAUAAAAGGAGUGUCGGUACACGUGUCGAACGCUGCACCGAAGUCCGAGGGCAACAAUAAGAAUUUCAAUAAUCAAGUGAAUUCGAACAUGCGUAGAGGCGCCCCAGGUCCCGUCGAGAAUAACGUGCAAGGAAACUAUCAGGGUAACAGAUACAUGGGCCACUCAGGUAACAAUAUGGGUCCAAACGGUUGGAACAAUCCAGGGAACCGGGGCAACUUGGACAUGCCUAACCUCCAAGCAUUGGGCAUUACUGGACAAAAUAAUGGCGGUGGUGGCGGCGGUGGUAUGUCGAAUCCUUUGGCGAUGGGAGGUCUGAACCUGUCCGCGUUACCAGUCAACCCUGCUUUGGUCGCAGCUGCAUUGAACCAAGCAUCUUGGGGUCUGAUCGGUAACUUGCAGAAUCAGGGAAACGAUCAGGGCUAUUCGAACCAGCCUGGCCCACCUGGUCAGCCACCUUCAGGCAACAAUAGUAUUGGUAACAGUGGAAACUCUGGCUUUCUCAGUUGGAUGAAUCAGGGAGGAGGUGAUGGUAAUACAGGCAAUCCUGGAACAGGUGGUCCAGGCCCGAAUAAUCCCAACGCAUCCCAAGGUGCUUGGCAGAACCAUCCAGGACAACGUGAUCAAAAGUCGAACACCUUUCUCAAGUACGAGUAAGCUGCAUGGAGAGGAGAGAGAGAGGGUCCGAGUGUAAUCGUGGAAUGCGGCGAAUCCGUUUCUUUGAUCCUGAUACACGUUAUCCAGUGGCGAGAGUCUAGUUUAGAUGAAUGAAUUGCAGCUUAAAUGCAGGAUUGAUUUUAUGAAAUUUUAAACCGAUAACAACAGGAGAAGAAAAAACAAGAAACAGGAUACGAGACAUGUGAGAACCGAAUGCAAAAAUUGUGUACACAAUAAUGUGCGCAUAAAAAGUUUGUAAAAAAUGAGGACGAUUUGAAAGUUUAGUUGUUUUCUGUGUUGCUUAUCAUUGUAUCUAGCUGAUCGUUGGUCAAGUAUGCAAAAACUGUUAUUUUUAGUGCAUAAAGAAGAAAAAGAUUGGAAAUAAAAUAAAAUGAAACGCUUAAAAAUUAGAGAAAUUGGUCAUUAUUAUACUAUGCUGCAUAAAAUUAAAAGGGGAAUAUGCAGAAGAAGGCUGAAAUGUCGAAUAUAAAAAAAAUCACAUAGUGGAAUGUGGUUAACGACAGAUAAAAUUUCUAAAAUAAAAUAACCUUUGAAUAUGUAAUAAUGAUGGCUGGAAUAAUAUUUUUAUAAUAUUUUUUGUCAUAUUAUUGUUGAAAACCUUUCCUUAAGAAUUUUUCCAUAUACUGAACAUUAUUUAAGCCGAGAGAAUAAAUGAAGUUGGUUUCAAAUA